rnacentral:rRNA from 1 species
UACGGAGGGGGCUAGCGUUGUUCGGAAUACUGGGCGUAAAGCGCGCGUAGGCGGACCUGCAAGUCGGGGGUGAAAACCCGAAGCUCAACUUCGGGCCUGCAUCCGAAACUGCCCGACUAGAGGUAGGUAGGGGAGAUCGGAAUUCCUGGUGUAGCGGUGAAAUGCGCAGAUAUCAGGAGGAACACCGGUGGCGAAGGCGGAUCUCUGGGCCUUACCUGACGCUCAGGUGCGAAAGCUAGGGGAGCGAACAGG